rnacentral:rRNA from 1 species
GACGAACGCUGGCGGCGUGCUUAACACAUGCAAGUCGAACGGAAAGGCCCUGCUUUUGUGGGGUGCUCGAGUGGCGAACGGGUGAGUAACACGUGAGUAACCUGCCCUUGACUUUGGGAUAACUUCAGGAAACUGGGGCUAAUACCGGAUAUGCGCUCCUGCUGCAUGGUGGGGGUUGGAAAGUUUCGGCGGUUGGGGAUGGACUCGCGGCUUAUCAGCUUGUUGGUGGGGUAGUGGCUUACCAAGGCUUUGACGGGUAGCCGGCCUGAGAGGGUGACCGGCCACAUUGGGACUGGGAUACGGCGCAGACUACGACGGGAGGCAGUAGUGGGGAAUGUUGCACAAUGGGCGGAAGCCUGAUGCAGCAACGCUGCGUGCGGGAUGACGGCCUUCGGGUUGUAAACCGCUUUCGCCUGUGACGAAGCGUGAGUGACGGUAAUGGGUAAAGAAGCACCGGCUAACUACGUG